UGUAAGCAGAGGAAGUUAUGAACUGCUCUGGGUCUCCAGGUUUCCUUCUAAUAAGGUCAGCUACUUAGGAUGUAUGCUGGAAACCAAGAGGCUAUUGGAGCAUGAUAGCAGUGUUUAUGACUGCAUCAGACUCUGAUAAUAGCCAGCUUUCAGACUGGUUCAGCUGUCAGGAAUACCAUGUAUAUGACUUGAAUAUUGACUAUCCUGGAAGGGGUUACUGCAGAACGGGAGAGUAAGUCCCAGAGGGGCAGGCAAAAGGCUUGGAGAACAUUGGAGAUGCUGGGUCAGCAAGAGGAAAAAAGAAUGGUGGGAAGGAGAACUUUAUCAGUUUGACUCUUUUCUGUAUGAUUGCUGCUCCCAAGUGGAUUAGAGAAGUCCUGCUAUAGGAAUUAGAGGGUAGGGAGGAGGGAAUUGCCAACUAGAGAUAUCCCCGAUCUCGUUUAUAAACAAGAUUGAUAACAAAGCAAUUCUGAAUUGGGGGAAAUGCCAAAGUGUUUUUUGUCCAGCCUGCUCAUCUCCUU